rnacentral:lncRNA from 1 species
GUAGUUCCAUCACCGAAGGUGACAAACUUUUGAGUAAAAAUGAAAGUUGAAUGGGUGAACAAAGUGAUAAUCGGCGAUUCGCCGAAUAUUAAAGGCUGACUCAAUUGAGUUCGUCAACAGAGGUUCAAACACCUAAACCCUGAAGCAAAAGAAUGGCGAGCUAAGGAGUGAACGACGAUCUGUCGAAUGUGUUAGGCGAGCCCGACUAAUAUCACC